AGACAAUCUGCCUCCCUGAUUCAAUAGGUUAUGCACUGUUUGAAAAUAAUUGUUUAUUGUUUUGUUUUCCGUUUGCUUAACCAUCAUUCGAAUUUUUGGGUUUCACUGUGCUUCUUCAAAAUUUUCUGGUGAACUAUAUGCACAGUUUUUUGGGACGAGUUAGGAAGAUCCACCUGAAAACUGCAUACAAGAUAGAGAACUGUCCGAGUCACCGAGCUUCAGCGCAUCAUUCACGACCUCCGAGCGGAAACGCUUCUCCCAAGCCCUCCAGGUUUCAGAGUGGAUGAAUCAGAAGGGGAUAUGCAUAUUUUCGCCGGUUGAGCAUGCCGUGCAGCUGGAUUUGAUUGGGAAGGAAGAAUUUUGCACCAAUUGCUGUGAAAUAAAGCCAGUUUGAGUCUGUGGGUCGACAUUGUUGCAUCAUGGAGCAUGUGAUUGCUGGGAAGUUUAAGCUGGGGAGGAAGAUUGGGAGUGGGUCUUUCGGAGAAGUCUAUUUAGGUGUAAAUGUACACAGUGGGGAGGAGGUGGCUGUUAAGCUGGGCAUUUUGCGUUUGAAGGAUUUGAAACUGCUGUAAGCUAAAUGGGUGUGAAACAAGAUGGUGGCACUAUUGACACUGUGCCUGCAAUGGAACAGGGAAUGAGAAAAAAAAAUGGGCAGUACCUUAAUUUGCUGGAGAAGAUUUCUGAUGAGUUAGAUAAGAGAGUGAAGAAGUUUCUUAAGAGGAGCAGAAGCAAAUUUGGAGGGCUUGAAAGAUAAGAAAUUGAAGGGUCAACUUGCUGUUAGAGAAGAAUUGUAUGGAAAAUCUGCACAAGCUGCUGCCAAGGCUGAGAAGGCGCCUUAUCUUCAUAUGAAACCACCAUUUUCAAUUUUUUGGUAAUGUUAGCAGGUGCUUCUCGAAUUCUCUCUCUCUCUCUCUCUCUCUCUCUCUCUCUCAUUUACCAUCUUAUGAUUCAUAGCGGUUGCGGAUUAUAGCAGCACUGUGUUUUGAUUUGUAAACAAACUGUAUAAU